AAUGUAAAUCUUGAACAUUUAUUACGCUUCUGCAUUUAAGUUAUAAUUUAUUUCCUUUACAUAUUUCCGAAGUUGUUACAAGGAAUGCAGGUCAGAUCGCACCAGAAUAGGGUUCCACCAUCCCUAUUUUCAAAGCUCCUUCCAUCGGCGUUGUAGCCAGACCUUGUUCGCCUACCCUCAAUGCAAGGUAGUCAGCCCUAGAUCGGGUCGCAUCGUUCCACCUUAGGUGGCUCGUUUCCUGGUCGAGUAACCCCUCUUCUAUUUCCAUCUCUCCUUCCGCUAUCCCUUCCUCCAUUCUCUGUUAUUCAUCAGAAAAUGGAGAGUGAUUCUCCUCCGGCCUUAUCAUAACCUUCUUCAUGGAUCGAUUGGCUUCCAGGCAAGGCGGUGCCUCCUCUUUCUCCGUUAAGGCGAUGUUGAGAUAAAGUAGCAUUAGGGUUUCAACGGUUUAGGGUUCGGUUAAGAGAAUAAGAUAAUAGGUUCUGAAGUGAUUAUUUUUCAAUUUCUUAGCUACACAUCACCACCUUACCCUCAAAUACCUAACACACAACUCUUUCCGAAAUAUAUGUUUUAACAAUAUUAUUCCAUGCAUAUGAGUAUUCUUUUCUCUUCGGCAAUCUUACAUCUCUUCUUUGUCCCAGUUUGCCCUAUUGAAAGAACAAAGACUUCUUCUCUGGGAAAGGAGAAAAACAACCAAGACAAAGUUAGAGAAAUUUUCAAAAUAACUGAGAUCAAGCUUAAAAACAUAUCUAGAAUAAUUCAUUAGACCCUCUGCAAGGAAACCUUUUAAUCUCAAAGCCUUCAACCUCUCUUUCCUACCAUCCAUGACAAUAUGAUGUUAUUCUUCUCUCCCAACACCUCCUCUAACUUCUCCAUCAAAUCCAACAAUCAACUCACCAAAAUCCCUGAUCUCAUUUACCCUUUUUUUCUUAUAAACGUAUGAUGAAGGUGUUAAUUUUACUUGGCGAAGCUCAAAUAAAUACGAAUAUCUCAGAUUUCCAAAUGAAUUUGUUGUCGAAUAGUUUGAUCUCAUAUAAGCUUUUAGACUGAGUAGUGCUUUUUGGUAAAGACCCUUCAGAAUUGGCUUCAUAAGAGGUGAGUGUUUCAAACCCUAACAUAAUCAAUCAGCCAGAAUUUUUCUAUUGAAUUAAUCUAUCCAAACAAAAAAUCUCUUGGGCGUUUUCAUCUUCCCCAUCCCUAUGUUAAUUCCAUGAGCCGAGUUUAAUGGAGCUCGAUGUGUCCUACUUUGUCAAUUAAGUAAUCAAACUUGUGAUUAUCACGGAAUGAAGUUGCCUCCAAACCUCUCCAGGAUCUCUACUUCUCAGAAGGCGAAAAUUUACCCUUUUGAACUGUAACUCUCCAGGAAACACAUUUCUUCUUCUCCACAGUCAGCUCCAUGCGGCAUGAGGGAGACGUUGGCAAACCAUACUACUGUUCUGCGGCCAUCUAAACGACACAGUGUUAUCGUGAGGAGUCAGCUAGCUUGUCUGGACUGUUUUGAGGGAAUGAGUGGGUGAAUAAUCAAUAAUUUUUGCUUAUGCGCGCAGAUAAAAUACAAGGGGAAGAUGUAAGGGUAUUAUAGGAAUUUCAAGAGUUUCUAGUACUUUUUG
rnacentral:lncRNA from 1 species